UUACGGCCAUAUCAUGUUGAAACGCCGAUUCUCGCACGAUCACCGAAGAUAAGCAACAUCGAGCCUGGUCAGUACCUAGAUGGGUGACCGCUGGGGAAUACCAGGUGUUGUAA